UAGCAUAUCUAUAAGCGAGAAAAGAAACCAACAGGGAUUGCCUUAGUAACGGCGAGUGAAGCGGCAACAGCUCAAAUUUGAAAUCUGGCCUCUUUGGGGUCCGAGUUGUAAUUUGGAGAGGAUGUUUCGGGUACGGUCCGGGCUUAAAUUUCUUGGAACAGAAUGUCACAGAGGGUGAGAAUCCCGUCUGGAGUCUGCGACACGGCCUAUGUGAAACUCCUUCGACGAGUCGAGUUGUUUGGGAAUGCAGCUCUAAAUGGGUGGUAAAUUUCAUCUAAAGCUAAAUAUUGGCCAGAGACCGAUAGCGCACAAGUAGAGUGAUCGAAAGAUGAAAAGCACUUUGAAAAGAGAGUUAAACAGUACGUGAAAUUGUUGAAAGGGAAGCGCUGGCAACCAGACUUGCGCGUCGGGGUUCCCCCUGGCUUCUGCCUGGGCUACUCCCCGGCGCUCAGGCCAACAUCGGUUUUGGGGGUCGGUUAAAGGCCCCGGGAAUGUACCUACCCUUCGGGGUAGACUUAUAGCCCGGGGUGUCAUGCGGCCACCCGGGACCGAGGAACGCGCUUCGGCUCGGAUGUUGGCGUAAUGGUUGUCAGCGACCCGUCUUGAAACACGGACCAAGGAGUCUAACAUCUAUGCGAGUGUUAGGGUGUCAAACCCUUACGCGGAAUGAAAGUGAACGGAGGUAGGAAGCCGUAACACGCUGCACUAUCGACCGAUCCUGAAGUUUACGGAUGGAUUUGAGUAAGAGCAUAGCUGUUGGGACCCGAAAGAUGGUGAACUAUGCCUGAAUAGGGUGAAGCCAGAGGAAACUCUGGUGGAGGCUCGCAGCGGUUCUGACGUGCAAAUCGAUCGUCAAAUUUGGGGUAUAUAGGGCGAAAGACUAAUCGAAACUAUCUGGUAGGCUGGAUACUGACGAAGU
rnacentral:rRNA from 1 species